AAAGAAUCUGGAGACAGGUGCUGCAUGGCUGUCGUCAGCUCGUGUCGUGAGAUGGUUGGGUUAAGUCCCGCAACGAGCGCCAACCCUUGUCCUUUUAGUUGCCAGCAGGUUCGGCGUGGGCACUACGUAAAGGGACUGCCGGUAGUUAAACCGGAGGAAGGUGGGGAUGACGUCAAGUCCUCAUGGCCUUUAUGACCAGGGCUACACACGUACUACAAUGGCCGAUACAAAGGGCAGCGACACUGCGAGGUGAAGCCAAUCCCGUAAAAUCGGUCUCAGUCCGGAUUGGAGUCUGCAACUCGACUCCAUGAAGUUGGAAUCGCUAGUAAUCGUGGAUCAGCAUGCCACGGUGAAUACGUUCCCGGGCCUU
rnacentral:rRNA from 1 species